rnacentral:rRNA from 1 species
UACGGAGGGGGCUAGCGUUGUUCGGAAUUACUGGGCGUAAAGCGCACGUAGGCGGCUUUGUAAGUUAGAGGUGAAAGCCCAGGGCUUAACCCUGGAAUUGCCUUUAAGACUGCAUCGCUAGAAUCGUGGAGAGGUGAGUGGAAUUCCGAGUGUAGAGGUGAAAUUCGUAGAUAUUCGGAAGAACACCAGUGGCGAAGGCGACUCACUGGACCGGUACUGACGCUGAUGCGCGAAAGCGUGGGGAGCAAACGGG